rnacentral:rRNA from 1 species
AGGGUUCGAUUCUGGCUCAGGACGAACGCUGGCGGCGUGCUUAACACAUGCAAGUCGAACGAGGAUUAUGUUGGAAGGGCUUCGGCCUGGAAGGCGUAAUUCGAGUGGCGGACGGGUGAGUAACGCGUGAACAAUCUGUCCCGGACAGGGGAAUAACACUUGGAAACAGGUGCUAAUACCGCAUAAGACCACGCCCUCGCAUGGGGGAGGGGUAAAAGGAGGAAUCCGGUUCGGGGUGAGUUCGCGUCCGAUUAGAUAGUUGGUGAGGUAACGGCCCACCAAGUCGACGAUCGGUAGCCGACCUGAGAGGGUGAUCGGCCACAUUGGAACUGAGAGACGGUCCAAACUCCUACGGGAGGCAGCAGUGGGGAAUAUUGGGCAAUGGGCGAAAAAGCCUGACCCAGCAACGCCGCGUGAGUGAAGAAGGCUUUCGGGUUGUAAAGCUCUGUUAUAGGGGACGAAGGAAGUGACGGUACCCUAUAAGGAAGCCCCGGCUAACUACGUGCCAGCCGCGGC